rnacentral:tRNA from 1 species
AGAAGUUUAGGUUACAUCAAACCAGUGGCCUUCAAAGCCACAAAAAAGGACCCACCUCCUUAACUUCUG